GAUCAUGGCUCAGGAUGAACGCUGGCGGCGUGCUUAACACAUGCAAGUCGAACGGAGUUUUAACGGAAGUUUCGGAUGGAAGUUAGAACUUAGUGGCGGACGGGUGAGUAACGCGUGGGUAACCUGCCUCAUACAGGGGGAUAACAGUUAGAAAUGACUGCUAACACCGCAUAAUAUAGCGAAACCGCAUGAUUUUGCUAUCAAAUAUUUAUAGGUAUGAGAUGGGCCCGCGUCUGAUUAGCUAGUUGGUGGGGUAAAAGCCUACCAAGGCGACGAUCAGUAGCCGGCUUGAGAGAGUGACCGGCCACAUUGGGACUGAGACACGGCCCAAACUCCUACGGGAGGCAGCAGUGGGGAAUAUUGGACAAUGGGGGAAACCCUGAUCCAGCCGACGCCGCGUGAGUGAAGAAGUAUUUCGGUAUGUAAAGCUCUAUCAGCAGGGAAGAUAAUGACAGUACCUGACCAAGAAGCCCCGGCUAACUACGUGCCAGCCGCCGC
rnacentral:rRNA from 1 species